ACCAAUUCUGGAGGAUGAUUUCGUUCCUCUCGGUAUAAUGGCUUGAACGCAACACGCAAUUCUCCUGAUGUGUGGUUAUAUCCUGAUUGGUGGUGUUAUUGGUGCCAAUUCAAUCCUGGAAAGGCUAGGUACAUUC
rfam:Setaria italica strain Yugu1 chromosome IV, whole genome shotgun sequence.